AGUAGAAUUGCUGGUUCAUAUGCUAAUUCUGUUUUACUUUUUGAGGAAUUACCAAACUGUUUUCUACAAUAGCCUCAUUAUUUUACACUUGCAUUAGCAAU
rnacentral:pre_miRNA from 1 species